UCUGACCUCAAAUCAGGUAGGAUUACCCGCUGAACUUAAGCAUAUCAAUAAGCGGAGGAAAAGAAACUAACAAGGAUUCCCUUA
rnacentral:rRNA from 1 species